CGCCACAGCCAUAUCACCCUGCAGCCCAAGACCGGUUACUCACUAAAGCUAAGCAGGGCUGAGCCUGGUUAGUACCUGGAUGGGAGACCACUAGGGAACACUAGGUUGCUGUUGGAA
rnacentral:rRNA from 1 species